CGAACCCUGAUCCAGCCAUGCCGCGUGAGUGAAGAAGGCCUUCGGGUUGUAAAGCUCUUUCGGCCGGAAGAAAUCGCAUGGGUGAAUACCCUGUGUGGAUGACGGUACCGGAACAAGAAGCACCGGCUAACUACGUGCCAGCAGCCGCGGUAAUACGUAGGGUGCGAGCGUUAAUCGGAAUUACUGGGCGUAAAGCGUCCGCAGGCGGACCAGCAGGUCGGUCGUGAAAGCCCGAGGCUCAACCUCGGAACUGCGAUCGAAACCAUUGGUCUUGAGUCCGGGAGAGGGGGGUGGAAUUCCUGGUGUAGAGGUGAAAUUCGUAGAUAUCAGGAGGAACACCGGUGGCGAAAGCGGCCCCCUGGCCCGAAACUGACGCUCAUGGACGAAAGCGUGGGGAGCAAACAGGAUUAGAUACCCUGGUAGUCCACGCCGUAAACGAUGGAUGCUAGCUGAUGGGACUUCUACCGUCUCGUUGGCGUCGCUAACGCAUUGAGCAUCCCGCCUGGGAAGUACGGCCGCAAGGCUAAAACUCAAAGGAAUUGACGGGGG
rnacentral:rRNA from 1 species